AAGAGUACUUAGCAGGGAAUAUACCAUGAUCAUGAAGGUGGUUUCCCCCAGGGCGAGGCUUAUCCAUUGCACUCUGGAUGUGCUGACCCCUGCGAUUUCCCCAAAAGUGGGGAACUCGACUGCAUAAUUUGUGGUAGUGGGGGACUACGUUCAUGCUUCCCCCUG
ensembl:snRNA U1 U1 spliceosomal RNA